GCGAAGUCCAGCUGCCCCAUUAUAAGCGAGUUGUAGGGGACACCAUGCAUCCGGAAAAAGACAGACGAAAGAUGAAAACCUAGGCAAGCCCUCUGCUUUUGCAGAGCGAACGUGGCCGCAGGCUUUUCAGCAUUGAAUUUGAACAAGCCAAUGGCAUCCCAAUCAUUGAAACAGGAAGCCAGAUAAACAGCAUGUUAUCAAGGGGGGAUCCGGGCGCUUCCCUUAAGCCGGCGCCAGCUGCGCCCUGUGGCUGUCCUAACAAAGUCCCAUUGACUCACCAGCUGAUUUUCCAGUGUUGGGCUCCGGGGGACAAGGAACCCUCUCUGCUGGCUGGAUUUCACCCCUACACACCGCCCCCACCACUCACCACUCACGUCCUCCCUCGAUCCUGCCUCCCCACUCAGCCCUCCGCAAACUGGGCUGAUUCUUUAUCCCACGACCAGGUUCUAUCGGCUCUGAGGAUUGAAGGGACCACAAGAGCCCAAGCACCGAGCGCCCUCAGGGCCGAGGGGGCCGAAAACGGGAGAGGAAAUGACAAGAGCUGAAGAGCCAGAAUGGGAAGGAGGUCCUCAGCCUAAACCUCGUGCAACCUCUCUGCAGUGCAAGGAUUCCACCCCCAUUCCUCCCACCCCCCACACCCACCUCUUGGCCUGAGGGCUUCCAGACUGUGCAGGAAGAGUCCAGAAGGAAAUCAGGUGGCCCGUGCCCCUGGAGCAAGCUUUGAGCUCCGUAAGUGAAAGGGAGUAGCUGUGGCCAAGGACCCAGCAGAUUGGGACCAGAGAUUUCACCAGCUCCAGCCAACAUGAGGACUGAUUUAUUUCUCGGGUCUUGAGGGGUUGAGAGAUAGAAAGCAAAAAAUGCCAACUCCCUGGGAGGUCUCUGAAUGCUUCGCCAGCUGCAUCAACCAGUAGGGAGCAGAGUCAGGAUGAGAGCCCUGAGUUUUUCCUAAGCCCCUAUCCAGCCAAUCAGGUCACAGUACAUGUGGACAUAAGGGGAGGAUCAAGGACCCCUAGACAGGACUAGCAGUGACAUUGAAGACGUUCCCCAUCUGAUCAGGGGAGAGGAUUUUUACAUGCCUUUUGUCCAUGAAAGGAAUGAAUUGUCUUUUGAGGUGGGGAGGGGGGCCGUCUCUGAGGAAUACCUGAGAUGAAUCCCUUGCCCUGUGUGUGUAUAAUGGCUAAAAGUGUGGGCUCUUAAGACAGACAGCCUGGGUUCAAAUCCUGGAUCUACCACUUAACUAGCCAUAGGAAUUUGAACGAAUUCUUUAAUCUCUGUCCAUCUCCAUUUCUUCAUCUGUAUGUAAAUGGAAUAAUAACUGUGGCUAUGUCAUAGAUUGUUGGGAGGAUUAAGGGCAAUAAACACAGGUGACACGCUUAGAAGAGUGCCUGG
rnacentral:lncRNA from 1 species